GAUGAAGAACGUAGCGAAAUGCGAUACUUGGUGUGAAUUGCAGAAUCCCGUGAACCAUCGAGUCUUUGAACGCAAGUUGCGCCCGAAGCCAUUAGGCCGAGGGCACGCCUGCCUGGGCGUCACACGUCGUUGCCCCCCCAUCUACUCCUUCGGGAUUGCGGGGGGCGGAUGAUGGCCUCCCGUGCGCCUCGUCGCGCGGUUGGCAUAAACACCAAGUCCUCGGCGACGCACGCCACGACAAUCGGUGGUUGCGAAACCUCGGUUGCCCGUCGUGUGCGGUCGUCGCGCAUCGAGGGCUCGAAAAAAUUGCCGGGCUCCGGCUCGGCUUUCAACGCGACCCCAGGUCAGGCGGGGUUACCCGCUGAAUUUAAGCAUAUCAAUAAGCGGAGGA
rnacentral:misc_RNA from 1 species